CCCAUAUUGAAAUAUCUGCUCCCAUUCCAUACCUUUCCUUCGAAAAUCCAUGGUUAACCUAGGUUUCAAUCACCUUCGCCAUCGCUAGAGAAGAUCCUGGAUUCGGAUCUUGAGACGGGUCAUCACUCAGGAGCACGAACGAUCCUAAAGCGCGUGAGAGAAUCUGAGUUCUACAGGUAAAGUAUAAUUCUCCCAUCUCAAGUACGUGGGAUAAGUAAUUUCGGCCAAUCAGACGCGACUGAAACUUCCGAGCACCAAAUGUGAAUGCAGUUCGUAUGCGAUUGAAGGCUAAACAAUUCAGUAACAGACCUUGAACGAUAGAAGUAUAUAUUUUAUCUCUUUUGGGACGGUUAAAACGAGAGUUUAGCAAAGUGUCUGGUUGUUUUGGUUUGAUAAGUUCCUUAUAACCGUUGGUGUAAUGAAGUGUCUGUUGCAGGAUUACAUCUUCAUUGGUCGGUUACUUGGUGUGUUAACCUGGUAGUUUGUUUUGUUAAGGCUAAACAUUUUAGUAACCGAAUUUGGAUGAUAGCAGUA